GGCUGAAUGGGUUUUUCAGUGUCUGAUGAAGCAAUUCCACUUGGCUAAGGUUUCAUUCCCUAAAGUCUAGUGAUUGUCAUAAAUUGCAUAAUGCCUGGUGGCCAUAUUUUAUUUUAAUUGAUUCCAGACACCUGAAUUUGUACACCUUGAAGUUUUGUGUAUGGAAGCAUUGUAUUUCACAGCCAGCUAUCUAAAAUUUCAAAUCGAAGUUACAAAUUGGUGGGUAUGACUAUUUAUCAGAUUCUGUAUUUGGAGUUUUAAAAUAUUGUAUGACAGGCUAAAAUCAACUGCAAAGUAUGUGCCAUGUUCUAUAACAUGUUGUUUGCAAUAGGAACAUAUUAGAAAAACUUGCAUCUAAUUGUCAGAAAGGUAAAUUUUGAAUUUUUUAUGCAUUGUCGUAAUUUUGAAAUUUGGUAAAAGUUUAUGUUCAUCAUCAUCACAGCAGUAGAAACUGUAGGUGUAAACCACCUACUGGUAUACAAUUUGUUAAUGGUUUUUAGCUCAGUUGCUCAUUUGAUAAAUUAUUUUGGUUUUUUUAGUUUGGUCUGCUCAGCAUUUGUGCAAUUUCUUUUGUGUGAGGUAAGUUUUAUGAUGGAACUAAGUAUGUUUUGGCAUAAGCAACUCUUGCUUUUCUUGCAGCCAUGAACGUAAUUGUAUUACCCUUCAGUCCCUUCUACUCGUUCGCGAAUCAUUAAAUGCUUGCAUUCCCCUCUUUAAAUGCCAUGGUGCGAUAAAACUAGUUGGCGUAAUUACAAAAUAUUUCCAUUUCACCAUCCAAAUUGUAUUGAAAGCUUUAGGAUUAAAUGUAGCAGUGUUAAGAUUAUUUAAACCAGUCAGUUCCAUUUGAUCGUAUUUAUUUAUUGUAUUGUGAAUGGCAACUCUUCGUUCUACACAUCAUUUACUCGCUUGCGCAGGUCGGAAUUUAUUUAUUUAUUUCCGUUCUUUGUUUUUAAGGCUUGGCAGUGUGUCGAAGGUACUAUCACAGACUACGAAGUAAAGACCGAUGUACCCCCGAUAUCACUGUUUAGUCGAGGCCUGAUUACUUGCAGAGGACUAGUAUUGUCCUUUUUUCCCAAUAUAUUUCAUUGUAUUUGAUGUAGGUGAACUGUCAUUCAGGUUCGGUUGAUUCGUAGCUAAAGCUGGUGGUAUUCCAGUUUGCUUGUCUCCUGCGACGUCCUUGGCUAAAAUGAUUUCUCUUUUGUGUGCUAGUUUCCAGUGAGGAUAAAUUUCGCUUAUGAGGCAUAGACCUUGAUUAAAAUUUGAGCAAAGGAUUCACGGUACAGAUAAGGGUCACGUUUAAGAUCGCUAUUGUUAGCAAGAGAAUUGUUUAAUUGAAAUCUUGACUUGUAGGCAAGGAACUUAAUUACUACCCUUGGGGGUUCCUGCUCUUUUUUUACUCUUUGGAUGUAAAAGUUUUUGUUUUCCCUUACUGUUUCACAGGAAUCCCAGGAGUACUGGGCCAGUACUCAGACUCAGACAUUUACAGGAAUCCCAGUACUCAGAAAAUCGCCAGGAUGUACAUCCAUCGUAGAAAAGUGCAAUCGAAUGCUGUUUAUCGGUUCGAAAUAGUGGCAUUAGUCGUUAAAUCUAAUUUAAUAGAACUUGAAUUGAAACUUGACUUGAUUUCAAGAAACCCAAUUCAGCCAAUCAAAAGUGUGUGGUAGUCACACUUAACAAUGGCAAAGAGAUGCGUGCAUACAUUAAUGUCACAAUUUUCAAUUAUAUAAUUUUACUGUUUUCAAUUGAAUUAACACCAUGUUUCAUAUUCAAGGAAGAUAAUAUUGGGUUGGUGUGCGUCAGCCAUGUCAUAGAUCUUCCUGGUUUCAAACUCAAGUGAAAAAAUGAGGAUACUCAAGUUUUAUUCGGGAAAAUGGGGGAUCGACCUCAGGCAAAUUUCUAUUCGGUGCUUUCGGUGCUUCUAUGUUUAUGUGCGUCUAUGAUGAAGAUUACGAGUGACAAGUUAAAUUGGUGUUUUUUACGUUACCCUGUUUUGUGUUUCAAAGGACUUUUUGUCAACAAAUUUACGGUAUGUUGUUAUCUAUUCAGUAUAGCUAUCGUUGGGUAUGUAUUGAAAAGGAAACUUCCGGAAAAUUUUCGUGACAAUCUGCAAAAUUUUAAAAAUGAGCUGUAUUUUUCUAACAAUUUCAAAUACUUUUCUCGCAUGCGUUAGGGUAUAGUAGCUAUUAUUCCGGGUUUUUCUUGCUCUCAACAAUGCAGACUGAUCCUACGACCUGUGACAGUUUUACCUACAAAUGUUUGCGUUUGGUGCUGCUAGCAAGUAGCAACUAGCAGUUGAUAUUCUAGGAUGUUAUGCCUAAAAUUGAAAUUCAGCUAUCAGAGAUUAGCAAAAUUCAAGCACUUAAAAGCAAGUUUUGUACGUAUUUCAACAUUCAAAGUAAAAUAUAAUUUUGGGUUCUAGGCGGAAACUCUAGAUGGCGUUUAUGUGCGUCUAUGAUGAAGAUUACGAGUGACAAGUUAAAUUGGUGUUUUUUACGUUACCCUGUUUUGUGUUUCAAAGGACUUUUUGUCAACAAAUUUACGAUUGCUUUUUGUAUGUGGUGGUGUUUUGCCUUGUCAGCUGCUGAACCAGUAGCCUGCAUUCCUGCUAUCAAUACACCACAAGGGAUCCUGACACUUUAAGAAGGCUACUAUUCCUUAAAUGAAAGUCACCAUCCAGUUCAAGUACUGUUAAUGGACCUCAAGCCUUUUGUUUAAGCUUAGUGCUGUGUUCGCUCAUCAGUCAACCACAGAGUCUUCGUCUACUUUGUGUUGCUAACCAUCAGCCCUCAGCAUCACAGGUAUCCAGAUUUCCAAGCUUCUCUGAUUAGCCAACCAUCAUCUAUACACUUCAGCUAUGCAUUGUGGCUUCUCUUCCUCUCUUCUUAGUCUGCAAAUGUGCAACAUGGAAUAAGUUUCACAAUCAUUGCAUUACCAUGAAAAUUGUCAUUGUUAAUCCUGCUGUUCUUCUCACCAUUACUUAGCCAGCUAUCAUGGAUAUGCUUUAACAACAUCUACAUUUUUGGACUGCAAAUAUUCAUCUUCCUUCGGUACAACACUGCCGUAGUUUCGCUGCCAGUGGACCACACGCAACUACAUUUUCUUCGUCUUCCUGACGUUGUUGUCUACGCCUUUACCUCAUCGCUGUCUUCGUCUACGUUUUCGCCUCAUCACUGUUUUCGUCGACAUCUUCACCUUCAUGUCCGUCUCGUCGCCUUCAUGUCCGUCUCGUCGUCGCCUUCAUCUCCGUCUCGUCGUCGUCGCCUUCAUCUCCGUCUCGUCGUCGUCGCCUUCAUCUCCGUCUCGUCGUCGUCUUGGCCGUCUUCGCCUUUGUUUCAUCAUUAUCUUGGCCGUCUUGGUCUGCCAUCACCUGGUCGCCUUCGCCCUUCACGUAAGGAUUUCACCGUGGAUCGUCGCCCUGGUAUUGUUUUAUUUUGCAUUGUUAUGUUUAAGUUAACCCGUUGGCUGCCACCCCGUUUGCGUCCCAUUUUUUUUGUAGCUUGUAGGGACCGGCCGCAAUGGCCUUCGCCGCAAGGCGCAUUAGGCA